AUGGAGAAGGCAGGACAUCAGCAUGUGAUCGGCAUCCCAGUGAGCAGCACUGCCAUCGGCAUCGAGGAGCCGGAGUUCACCAGCGAUGGAGCUACCUAUGUCCACGGUGAUGCAAAAUACUCGACGAGCACACGUACCGGCGGCAAAUCGGGCAGGCCAGGGGACAAGUUCGCUCGAGGAAUCAGAGAGCAUGUGACUCUAGGCCCAAAACUGUACGAGACCGUGAGGGGCAAGCUGUCGCUGGGCGCAAGAAUCCUCCAGGCCGGCGGAGUGGAGAAGGUCUUCCGGCGGUGGUUCGCCGUGGAGAAGGGCGAGAAGCUCCUGAAUGCCUCGCAGUGCUACCUGUCAACGACCGCCGGCCCGAUCGCCGGGAUGCUCUUCGUAUCCACAGAGAAGGUGGCCUUCCGCAGCGACCGGUCGCUGGCGCUGACCUCGCCUAAGGGCAACACGGUACGGGUGCCGUACAAGGUGGCCGUCCCGCUGAGGAGGGUGAAGGCGGCCAGGCCGAGCGAGAACCAGCACCGGCCGGAGCAGAAGUACGUCCAGCUGGUGACCGACGACGGCUUCGAGUUCUGGUUCAUGGGCUUCGUCAGCUACCAGACAUCCCUGCAGCACCUCGAGCAGGCCAUCGGCGCCGCGGGGGGUGGGAUGAAGGUGCAGUCGUCGCGGGGCGCGGGCACCGGGAGCGGGACGCGCUUGCGGCCUACCGCGGCGUGA
rnacentral:rRNA from 1 species